rnacentral:rRNA from 1 species
UACGAAGGGGGCUAGCGUUGCUCGGAAUCACUGGGCGUAAAGCGCACGUAGGCGGCUUUUUAAGUCAGGGGUGAAAUCCUGGAGCUCAACUCCAGAACUGCCUUUGAUACUGAGAGUCUUGAGUUCGGGAGAGGUGAGUGGAACUGCGAGUGUAGAGGUGAAAUUCGUAGAUAUUCGCAAGAACACCAGUGGCGAAGGCGGCUCACUGGCCCGAUACUGACGCUGAGGCACGAAAGCGUGGGGAGCAAACAGG